rnacentral:lncRNA from 1 species
UAAUAUUCAAUUGUCACUACGAUUACAAUAAUCUAGAAUAUUUUACAUUGUAUUUCAAAUCUAGCUAAAUCUAACAAUCAAAUUAUGCAACUAGCACAAAAAUAUAAUCAAUGUUCUUUCAACCGCCAACUUUUGCACCAAUUGUAUAUAACAUUUUUCCACUUUGCAUCCAGACUAGCAACGUCGUGCCUACAUAAUUUGAAGAAGACCAAAACAAUCAAAAAAAAUCUAAAUAUGAAAAGAAGAGUGGAAGAAGCAAUAGAAGCUCUAAAUAUGGUUACCUGCUCUCCAUAAUUCUGAGGGAGAGCAACCAAGUGAAGAAGGCUGGCUUCCUUUCACAGGAUCACAAAGUUUGCAUGAGCUAAUACAGCCUGAUCUUCAUCAAUCUGUAAAAGAUGUGCUCUGUUCAAAACAAUUUGAAUUGCUUGAAUUAAAAAUUUAAAUUAUGAAUCCUAACCAUAUUAGCUGGAUUAAGAAAUAACAGAACAUGCUCAAAACUUGAUAGUUUUUCAUUUCUACACACAUUGAAAUGGUGAGGCAGUAUUUUCCCAGUAGAUUUUGGCAGCAUCAAUGAUGGAUAUUGUUAGGAAUUGGCAUUUAGCAGACACUGGAAAUGGAUGACAAUUUUUCUUAAGCUUCUAAACAGCUUAUAAAUUAGUUAAUAACUAUUUCAAAGAGCUACUAAAUACUACUCCCUCCGUCUCACAAAAACGUGAGCAGUUUGCCAUUUUGGGGCGUCACAUAAAAACAUGAACAUUUCUAUUUUGGUACUCUAACUCACCACAAUUCCUUUAUUUUUCAUCUCUACUUUUUAUAAAAUGGAACUCCUUUUUCACUCAGAAUAUACUUUUAUUUAGCAUUUCUUAAAAUUCGUGACACUUACAAAUGUUCACGUUUUUAUGAGACAGAGGGAGUAGUUUACAAACUAGUACUAUUUUUAAAAAGCGUUUAAGCUCGUUCAAAAUAUCCUCUAAAUCAAGCCCUUCUCACAAUUUUAGUUAUUUAUAUUUAAUAUUUUACUCCCUCUCCUCCUGUCCACAAAAAAUUAAUAAUUUUUUGUCAUCUUGAGAGCACUCACAACGCCUACACGAUAGCCCCUACACGAUAGCGCUAUCGUGUAAGUGUGCUAUCGUGUAACCGUUGCGGGAGCACUUUACACGAGGGCUACACGUUCUAUCGUGUAGCCCAUUUUCUCUAUAGUGUAAGGCGCGUGUGAUGCACGCGCCUAUUAAAAAAAAAUCAAAUUUGAUCGUUGGCUGCCUCGUUUUGCGUGAUUUUGACAUUUCAAAUUUUUUUUUUCCUUUUUCUUCUAUUUAUUCUUCUUCUUCCUCAUUUUUUCCCUACACCCUCACUUCUUCUUCUUCAUCUUCUUCAUCUUCUUCCUUUCUUCCUCUCUCUACACCCCAUGGAUCCACACAACCCAAAUUACUAUGACCUAAAUUGGUGCCCCGAUCUAUCCGACGAUUAUCAUCCCGAUUUAUCGGGGUGUAACUUGGGGGAUGCUCCUCAGUCCGGCGAAGAGAUGCCUUCGGCAGCCCAUAGUGCCGCCAAACCGAAGAAAGGCAGCCGGAGGAAAGAAGUCGCCCACAAGAUCCGCCAAACCGAAUAAAUGCUCAAGCAUCGUGGUCUUAUCUACACUAGGAGUUUAAUUUAUGUAAUUUAUAUUAUGUUUUUAAUUUUUUUUAAUGUAAUUUUUAGGUUUUUUAUUUUAAUGAAAUUUUAAUUAUUAGUCAAAUGUGUUAUUUAAAUUUGAGCAAUUAAAUUUAAGUAAAAAAGCAUAAAAAUCAAAACUAAUUCUAUCAUGUAAGCUAUCAUGUAAUCCCACUGCAACAUCUUUACACCAUGUGGUCCCCCCAUCAUAAAGUAGGCUAUCAUAUAAGCUAUCUUGUAACCCCAUUGCGGAUGCUCUGAGAUAUGCACAAAAAUUAGUCUAUUUUCAUUUUUAGAAACUAUUUAUCAUGUGUUGGACCCUAUUUUCUUCCCACAGUAUAAUUAAUUAUCAUUAUAAACACUGUUUUUUAAGUGAGACUAUUUUUCCGUUCAUAAUACAAUAAUCAUUUUUAUUAAGAUUCGAAACGUUUUUUACUAUAAUUAUUUUUUGUGGACGGAGGGAAUAAUUCAUUCAGGUCUUGCCAUCUAAACAGAACCUAUAACAACAAAAAAGCCAAAAAAAAAAAACAAAGAAAAACAAAGUACUAAUUGAUUAAAAUAUCCCCAAUAAGAAAAAGCAGUGGAUCUUGACAAUGAGCACGGACUCGGUUGCUAACUCAUCAAGCAUCCGAGUUAACCCAGGCAUCUCUAUCUAAUUAUUCCAAUCUUUUCUUAAAUCUAUCACAGUUUCUCUACAUCCAUUUGCAAAGAUGAGAAGAAGAAAAAUCGGGAAUUUGAAGCUGAAGAGCCCAGUGAAACUGGUGUGCACGAUCGUCACCGUUUCAUUCAUAAUCACACAGAUCUUCACUGCGGUUAAGCUCAGAGGCAUACCUCGAUCGGCAAUUGCUUCAACCAAAACAGAAUCCCCCGCCAAACGCGCGAGAAUCGGCGAGUUCGGGGAAACGGUGAUUAAGUUGUUACCUGAGGAUCUGGCGUUCACGCUC